rnacentral:rRNA from 1 species
CAGCCGCCGCGGUAAAACGGAGGGUGCGAGCGUUAAUCGGAAUAACUGGGCGUAAAGGGCACGCAGGCGGUUAUUUAAGUGAGGUGUGAAAGCCCCGGGCUUAACCUGGGAAUUGCAUUUCAGACUGGGUAACUAGAGUACUUUAGGGAGGGGUAGAAUUCCACGUGUAGCGGUGAAAUGCGUAGAGAUGUGGAGGAAUACCGAAGGCGAAGGCAGCCCCUUGGGAAUGUACUGACGCUCAUGUGCGAAAGCGUGGGGAGCAAACAGGAUUAGAUACCCCUGUAGUCCCUGUCUCUUAUAC